CAUAAUCAGUUGCUGAUAUAUAAUCAACCAAAACGGCCAAUAACAAAAAACUGAUAAUUGAUGAAAGCCAAGAAUUAUUGCUGUUCCUCAUAGAUGAUUGCUAAAUGCCGGAAAAAUACGCGAAAAUUCUGGAAAAUUGAAAACAAUUAGUUUUGAACUAAAAAAAAGAACAAAAACUUGAGAAAAUAUCUACUGUAGAAACUCAAUUUGCCAACGAUAAUAAAUUAAACAACUUAUUUUCAAACAUAUUUCUACCCCCAAGAAUUUAAAUUCACUGCAGUUAAAUAGCAAGAUCUCUCGCAUUCAAGAAAGGUGAGAAUUUUACUACUCUAGAACAGGAAAGCUUCAUAGAUCUAUUAAAACCCAGCUGAAGAAAGCAAUAUUCUAAAGAGGAAAAAGAACUCAUAAUCCAUUGCAAGUUAAAGACUUAAAGAAAAUCAGGAAAAAAGGAUAAUCACCUCGACAAUAAGCGCUUAAAACUCCAAAGAAUUGAAAACUUUAAGUCAUUUGUCAGCUGCCCACAACCGCAAUGAAUUAAAAAUCCGGAUGCUAAGCUUGAAUUAGCACAGAAAAUCAAAGAAAAAAGCUCUCAGAGUUCAAACUUAGAUCAGAAGGAAGUUACAGAGAGAUAAAUUUUGAAAAACAAAAAACUGAAAAUGUGGUUAAGCUGAUUUCCUAGUUUGUUCUUAAAUGAUGACAGGGUAAGCUUCAUAAUUUAAUUAUUAUUCUCUUUAUAUGCAAUGCAUAUAUAAUUCGCAGGAACGCGUGAAAACAGACAAUGGAAUGGGAGGCGUGUUUUGUUAAAUUUCUUGAAGCUUGGAGCGUAUCCUCAUUAGAGUUUUUACUCGCAAUUGU
rnacentral:lncRNA from 1 species